CCUACGGGAGGCUGCAGUGGGGAAUAUUGGGCAAUGGAGGCAACUCUGACCCAGCAACUCCGCGUGAAUGAUGAAGGUCUUCGGAUUGUAAAGUUCUGUGAUGGGGGAUGAACACAAUGACGUUACCCCAAUAGCAAGCCACGGCUAACUACGUGCCAGCAGCCGCGGUAAUACGUAGGUGGCAAGCGUUAUCCGGAAUGACUGGGCUUAAGGGUUGCGUAGGUGGUUUAGUAAGUUGGUGGUGAAAUUCCGGGGCGCAACCUCGGCGCUACCGCCAAAACUAUUAGACUAGAGUGCAGGAGGGGUAAGUGGAAUUCCUAGUGUAGCGGUGGAAUGCGUAGAUAUUAGGAGGAACAUCAGGGGCGAAGGCGACUUACUGGACUGUAACUGACACUGAGGCACGAAAGCGUGGGGAGCAAACAGGAUUAGAUACCCUUGUAGUC
rnacentral:rRNA from 1 species